GAUGAACGCUGGCGGCGUGCCUAAUACAUGCAAGUCGAGCGAACAGAUGAGGAGCUUGCUCCUCUGACGUUAGCGGCGGACGGGUGAGUAACACGUGGAUAACCUACCUAUAAGACUGGGAUAACUUCGGGAAACCGGAGCUAAUACCGGAUAAUAUAUUGAACCGCAUGGUUCAAUAGUGAAAGACGGUUUUGCUGUCACUUAUAGAUGGAUCCGCGCCGCAUUAGCUAGUUGGUAAGGUAACGGCUUACCAAGGCAACGAUGCGUAGCCGACCUGAGAGGGUGAUCGGCCACACUGGAACUGAGACACGGUCCAGACUCCUACGGGAGGCAGCAGUAGGGAAUCUUCCGCAAUGGGCGAAAGCUUGACGGAGCAACGCCGCGUGAGUGAUGAAGGUCUUCGGAUCAUAAAACUCUGUUAUUAGGGAAGAACAAAUGUGUAAGUAACUAUGCACGUCUUGACGGUACCGAAUCAGAAAGCCACGGCUAACUACGU
rnacentral:rRNA from 1 species